GUCUCAAAAAAAAAAAGCCCCCUUUGAUCUUGAUAAAGAAGCAUCCACUCUAUCUUCCAUAACUACUCUGUGGAUGAAUAGUAAUGGCAAUAGCCAACAGUUAUUGUGUGCUUAUUAAGUGCUGGGCACUGUUCUAGGGGUUUUCCAUGUAGCAACUAAUGUUCUCACUAUAAUUCUAGAAGUAGUUCUUACUAUUUUCCCCAUUUCACUGGUGAAGAAUGCUGAGGCAGGGCAGGUUAAGUAACCUGACCAGAGUCCCACAGCAAGUACGCGGUGGAGCCUGGACUUGAACCUAGGCUCUCUGGCUCCAGGGAUUGCUCUUCUGUGCUGUACUUCAAAGGAAAGAAUGCAGAGAAGGUGUUAGCCUGAGGCUGGGAGCAGUCAACACUCAGUAAAUUCUUUCCACCUGCAUGUUUGGCUGUUGGGAACAGGCAGACUCGAUUUUUAAUUAUACAAAUGGACAAAAGUGGACAGAUAAUCCCAGCCUGGAAGUUUCCUGGUGGGAGCAGAGUGUGUGGAUCAGAUGUCCCUGGGUAUCAUAUCCUGUUGUCCCCAGCCCAGCUGCGUUGGUUGCUUGGGGUCAUGGGAAUGUUAGUGUUGCUCUGAAGCCAGGAAAGCACCUAGUUAGUGAGGAUUGGAGCGAACAGGGUUGGGCAUGGGUAGCCCACUGUCUCUUUCUGCAUCUAGGUCUUGCAUCUAGAUGCAACAUGCUCAAUUUGCCAAAUGCGUAGGUAGCUGAGAAGUGCCACAUUUUAAAGACUGCUCUAAAUUCAAGAGACACAUAGUCAUGGAACUGCUGGAGGUUUGGGCUUUCGACACACUCUGAAAUACUGCCUCUCUCCUCACCACCCACACUUCCUGCUGAUAAUCCAAGUUUUUUUUUCUUUGCCUUUAUUACUUCCAAGCUCUAGUUCUUGGCUGAGACAAACUGCAGUCCCCAAAUGCUGUGAUUUAAUGAGAGGAAAUUUACUCGACUUAAUGUACAAAUUUGCCAGGGGAAGUGAUUUUGAUAAGGAUAAUUACAUUCACAUCUUAGUGUAAAUUAUAGCAAAUAUCUUACACUGUGAGCAG
rnacentral:lncRNA from 1 species